GAUGAACGCUGGCGGCGUGCCUAAUACAUGCAAGUCGAGCGGAGCGUGGACGGGUGAGUAACACGUGGGGAACCUCCUAUAUGAAUGGGAUAACUUCCUGAAACCGGAGCUAAACCGGAUACUUAUACCUGGAUCCGCGCUGCAUUAGCUAGUUGAUAAGGUAACGGCUUACAAAGUCAACGAUGCAUAGCCGACCUGAGAGGGUGAUCGGCCACACUGGAACUGAGACACGGUCCAGACUCCAACGGGAGGCAGCAGUGGGGAAUCUUCCGCAAUGGGCGAAAGCCUGACGGAGCAACGCCGCGUGAGGGAUGAAGGCCUUCGGAUCGUAAAACUCUGUUAUUGGGGAAGCGGUACCUGAACAGAAAGCCACGGCUAACUACGUGCCAGCAGCCGCGGUAAUAC
rnacentral:rRNA from 1 species